rnacentral:rRNA from 1 species
AUUGAACGCUGGCGGAAUGCUUUACACAUGCAAGUCGAACGGCAGCACGGACUUCGGUCUGGUGGCGAGUGGCGAACGGGUGAGUAAUGUAUCGGAACGUGCCCAGUCGUGGGGGAUAACGUAGUGAAAAUUACGCUAAUACCGCAUACGAUCUAUGGAUGAAAGCGGGGGAUCGCAAGACCUCGCGCGAUUGGAGCGGCCGAUAUCAGAUUAGGUAGUUGGUGGGGUAAAGGCCCACCAAGCGCACGAUCUGUAGUUGGUCUUAGAGGACGACCAGCGACACUGGAAAUGAGACACUGUCCAGACUCCUACGGGAGGCAGCAGUGGGGAAUUGUGGACAAGGGGCGGAAGCCUGAUCCAGCCAUUCCGCGUGCAGGAUGAAGGCCCUCGGGUUGUAAACUGCUUUUGUACAGAACGAAAAGGUUUCUACUAAUACUAGGAGCUCAUGACGGUACUGUAAGAAUAAGCACCGGCUAACUACGUGCCAGCAGCCGCGGUAA